rnacentral:ncRNA from 1 species
UGAAAUGCAAAGAUGGAGAAUAGUAAAGGUGUGAUGUUUCACAGAAAGCGGAUUGGUGAUGAGAGAUCUGCAAACUAGCUUCUUGAACCCGCUCCGGAGCAUAUGACGAGCAAGUCAUUACGUUGAAUCACGUUACGAUUAAUAAAGUGAGCCGGGAACGGCUAAUUAGGGUGGUACCGCGGGUAACUCUCGUCCCUUUA